rnacentral:rRNA from 1 species
AAAAACAUAUCUAAUAGAUUUAAUUAUUAGUCAAACCUGCUCAAUGAAUUUUAAAUAGCCGCAGGUUAUACUGUGCUAAGGUAGCAUAAUCAUUUGUCUUUUAAUUAAAGACUAGAAUGAAAGGUUAAACAUUUAAUUUCUUCUAACAAACUCUUUUCUUUAAAUUCUUUUAAACGUAAAAAAACGUUUAUUUAUUAGAAAGACGACAAGACCCUAUUGAACUUAACUUUAGUUUAACUGGGGCAGUUCAAUAACAAAAUCUUAUUAAUAUUCUUUAAAAAGACCUAAUACAAUUAAAAUUAUGAACAAGUUACCAUAGGGAUAACAGCGUAAUAAUUUUUAUAAGAUCUUAUAUAAAAAAACGAUUACGACCUCGAUGUUGAAUUAAUUUCACUUAUACAUGCAAAAGAGUAUAAAGAAAGUCUGUUCGACUUUUAAAAAAUUACAUGAUC